GAUGAACGCUGGCGGCGUGCCUAAUACAUGCAAGUCGAGCGAACAGACGAGGAGCUUGCUCCUCUGACGUUAGCGGCGGACGGGUAAGUAACACGUGGAUAACCUACCUAUAAGACUGGGAUAACUUCGGGAAACCGGAGCUAAUACCGGAUAAUAUAUUGAACCGCAUGGUUCAAUAGUGAAAGACGGUUUUGCUGUCACUUAUAGAUGGAUCCGCGCCGCAUUAGCUAGUUGGUAAGGUAACGGCUUACCAAGGCAACGAUGCGUAGCCGACCUGAGAGGGUGAUCGGCCACACGGGAAGUGAGACACGGUCCAGACUCCUACGGGAGGCAGCAGUAGGGAAUCGUCCGCAAUGGGCGAAAGCCUGACGGAGCAACGCCGCGUGAGUGAUGAAGGUCUUCGGAUCGUAAAACUCUGUUAUUAGGGAAGAACAAAUGUGUAAGUAACUAUGCACGUCUUGACGGUACCUAAUCAGAAAGCCACGGCUAACUACGUG
rnacentral:rRNA from 1 species